ensembl:lncRNA
AUGGAGCAAGAGCUUGCUGCGUUGCGGGAAAGACUGGAUAAGGAAAAAGCAGCGAUGGAUGAACUUAAACAACAGAAUGAAGCAUUGACUGCCCAGUUACAACAAGUAACAACAACAGAUCCUAUGGAAACUUCACAUUCCCCUUCCGAUGUAGGCCAGGCUUAUUCAGCAGCCUCACCGGCCUCCACAAGUAAAGUUACGACAUCUGUUGAAGUGAUUUAUAUGCCUAAAGAUAAAAAGAUGGUAAUAUUUUCUGGUGAUCCAGGUACUAUCUCCUAUUAUGAUUGGAUUGACGAAGUGCAGAACUCUAUGAAUUAUCGACAAUAUAGAGAAAGAGAACAGGCAGCAUUUCUGUAUGAUCAUCUGGAGGGGGGAGCUAAACAGGAGAUAAGAUAUAGCACACCUGAGGUACGCAGGAGCCCUACAUUGAUUCUAGAGGUUUUAAAGGAGGCGUAUGGCCAUCCCUAUUCUCUGACUGCUUCUCAAAAGCGUUUUUUUGACAGAAAACAGAAGGCAGGUGAGGGGUUGCGGGAAUUUUCUCAUUCACUGUUAUCUUUGGCAGGGGAUAUAAAUCGUUGUAAUGGAGGAGUGGAGUUGUGUGGGGAGCAGACAAUAAGAAAUCAGUUCGCAGAGAACGUAAGAGACCCCUCACUUCGUCGAGAAUUAAAACGAUUAAUUAGACAAGACCCAAAUAUAAAAUUCUCAGCAUUGCGGAGAGAAUCUAUGCUGUUUUGGGAAGAAGAUAAUGUGCCUGAUAGAGCUUCCUAUAAUUUAGCACCAGAAGAUGCAGCAGUUGAAUGCUCUGGUAUUACUACAACAAAUAAGUCCGUUAAUCCUGAUUCUUUUCUUCUGGAACUUAGAGAUGCAAUGAGGAAGCAGGAGGAGAAAUUAGAGGGGCUUGCACAGCAGGUAGCACGACUUCAAGUUUCUGAAGGGAGGCGUGGGCGUAGGCCAAGACAGGAACCCAGGUAUGAUUCAGCAGGAAGACCUAUUUGUUUUAGAUGUCAGGGAGUAGGGCAUAUUGCACGUUUUUGUUCAAAUGUCAAUACUGUCGGUGACCAUGGUCGCCAAUUAACCCCAUCUGAGGUUGCUAGGGGGACAGCUGUCCAAACUACUAUGCAACAGGGAAACGAAUUCCCUCUGUAG